CCCAAAAUUGAGACGCUAACCUAGUGUUAGCGUACAAAAAAUCUGAGAUCAAGAUGAGGUAUGACAAUUAGCUAAAAGUCUUUCACAACAUGGACUCUAGGUUAGGCGUAUGGAUUAACUUGGCUAGUUUUCAAACUUCAAUCAAUUUCCAUGAUUAAACCGGAAGGUGAUUUAGCCAUAGAAGGACCCUCUGCACUUAGAAAGAAAUCACGAUUCUUUAAAAAACUAUUUCACCAUG
rnacentral:lncRNA from 1 species